rnacentral:misc_RNA from 1 species
GCAAACUUGGUCAUUUAGAGGAAGUAAAAGUCGUAACAAGGUUUCCGUAGGUGAACCUGCGGAAGGAUCAUUAGCGCGUGGCCUGUUCUGGUUAGAACGGUUACCCGACCUAUGUCAUUUGCUGGUUGGGGGGGAAGGAAAGGGAGGCUCCUGCUGCGACCCGGGUUCGAGUCUUGUGCUCGGAUGCGGGGAGGUGGACGGGGUCGAACUUUUGUCUCUCGCCGACACGAUAUUUCGGCGGAAGAGGUGGUCGUCGAGCCACCCGCCGCCGGUCGUAUUUUACGGACUCUUUAUUUUUUUGAGAAACUGAACGGUCUGAGAAAACACGUAAAAAGGAAAAGCAAAACUUUCAACAACGGAUCUCUUGGCUCUGGCAUCGAUGAAGAACGCAGC